CCCUUCGGGAUGUACGUACUUUUUGAACGGCCCCUAAUUGAAUAUUUUAAAAAAUAUUAAAAAUGAAUUAACAAUCUCCAAAUGCUAACAUUUUGUUUAUGUAUAUUGUAGACAUCAACAAUAGAGCUGAAAACAAUGCAAUUAGGAUCAAGAAAACUUCAAGCGGUUUUGGAAACAUUUCAACAUUUUAUUGUUCUUUUUGCAAUUAUUCAAGCUAUGUUCUAUCCAAUGUAAAACAACACCUUCGUAAACAUACCGGAGAGAGGCCCUUUGUUUGCAAAUUUUGCUGUAAAAGUUUUACUCAAAAACAUAAUCUCAAAGUCCAUGAAGCUAAACAUAGGCUUUAAAAGAUUUUAAUAAUGACUAACAAGGAAGCUAGACAUAUGUUUAUAAAAAGGCAUGAAUCUGUGAGUGAAUUUGGAAGUCUUGUAACAUACUCUUGCCCAGUUUGUGAUUAUACUAGUUAUAAACUACAUAAUGUCAAACAGCAUGCGCGUCAGCAUACUGGAGCACGACCUUUUGUUUGUAGAUUUUGUCAUAAGGCGUUCACUCGAAAUCAAAAUCUUAAGUUUCACGAAACAACUAAACAUUGAAUUAUUUAAAUUCUUUACUUCUUCAUUUGUUAUAACCUCAAGAAGUAUUAACUGUAAUUUGUUUAUACUGUGGUAAUAGUAUAAUUGAACUCAUGACUCAGACGAUAUCUGGAAUAAUCAAGAAAAAUUUUCAGAUUUGUUUCUCAAUAAAGCUCAAAAAAAUGCCCUGCCGUUUAUUGAACAAAGUUUCAUUGCUCUUCUCACUGUACGAGUGCAUUAUGUGUCUUCAUUGUUUAACUUUCCUGCUUUUUGUGACACACGACAUUAACUCUGUUCAUUAUUUUUAAUUCAUUUGUUAUUAACUAACCAUUAACACCUUUCACUCGAAAUCAAAAUCUUAAGUUUCACGAAACAACUAAACAUUGAAUUAUUCCAUUUCUUACUUCUUCAUUUGUUUUAACCUCAAGAAGUAUUAAUUGUAAAUUGUUUAUACUGUGGAAAUAGUAUAAUUGAACUCCUGACUCGGACGAUAUCUGGAACAAUCAAGGAAAAUUUUCAGAUUUGUUUCUCAAUAAAGCUCAGAAAAAUGCCCUGCUAGUUAUUGAACGAAGUUUCAUUGCUCUUCUCACUAUAUGAGUGCAUUAUGUGUCAUCAUUGUUUAACUUUCUUGCUUUUUGUGACACACACCAUUAACUUUCACUCUUUGUGCAUUUUGUAAUAGUUUUGUGCUAAUUAACCACACAUUUACGGAGGAAAAAUUUGUAUAAACUCACCAUACUUACAGGUAACAUCUUAUCUAUAAGCAUCGUUUUUUUAAGAAUCUUUUUCACCUACAAAAAAAAUUGUCCAUCAGAUGUUAAUAGUGCAUCUUACGAAUACAAAAGCAACUGAAUCACAUUUCAAGAAUAAUGUGAUUUACUGUAAGGUGCAUUUAAUCUGUGCCCAUUUGUUUAAAUGUGAAAUGAGGUACAACACAUGUGCACACUUUAUAAAAGUUUUGAUAAACUUUGUAUAUUGCAUGAAAUAUUUUCUUUCUAAAACAGUUUAUUAGCAAUUAUAAAAAUACAUCUUAAUGUAUCAAUGAGACAUUGCUUUCUUCACUGUAAAAAAAAAGGUAUCUUGUUUGCAUAAAAUUUUUUAUUUGAAUUGUGCAUACCUCUAGUUCAUACUGUUUUAUCUUCAUUUCUUUACUUAAUUUGUUCAUCUUUGUGUCUAAAUUAAAAUGGUUCUGUACUGUUUCAUCAAAUCUUAGAGAGUUAUGCCUUUCUCUCAUAUUUUUUUUCUCCAUAUAACUUGAGGGUAGACUACUUUCAUACAUCACACACAGAGAGAAACAUCCAUGCCUUGAGCAGGAUUCGAACCCGCAGCCAUUGACUUCACAGUCGCCCACCUGGUCAGCAUAGCUUUUAACUUCAUAAAGCUAAAUAUUGAAUUAUAUAAUAAUAAAUGCAACUGAUGCCUAUUGUACCUUUGUUUUUUUUUGUCCUUCAAAAAGUGAUUAGUAUAAUAUUUUUGUGACUAGUAUAAUAUCUGUUUUAAUAGGGAAUCAUUCUGUUAAACUUUUAAGAAAUAAUAUAUUUCCACUCUUACGUCCUUUUCUUAAAAAUUCAUUUCAAUAUAUUUUGCGAUUAAGGAAGCUGUUAUAACAUAUAAUUUUUGAACUUCACUGCAAGUGGUUUGAAUUCUUUCAGAUUCAGGGAUAAUGUUUUGUAUAGAUAUAAAGAAAUAUUAGUAUAUAUAUUAUAAAAAAAUAUUUGUUUUAUUAUGAUGUGCUUUUUUUUUUACAUGAAGAUUAGUUUUUUAGGGUAAUCGUAUGAAUUUAUAUCUUAAUCAAUGUUUUUGUUUUGUAAAAUUGACUUAAAUUUCCGCUAGAGUAUAAUUUAAACCCUUUUUCUUUAAAAAUGUAAUUUUUUUUUAAAGCAUGAAUUGAUUAAAAUUAAUUCUUUAAAAAAACAUUAUUAAAUAUUUGUGUUUACAAAACAUUAUAUUACUUAUUAGAAAUUUAUAUAUAAUGUAAAGCUCACAUUUCCAUAUAUGUUCCUUUCAUCUUGUAGAGACUGAUUUGGGAGCUGUGAAUAUAACAAUUAAAAGACAGGAAUCCUGAAGUGAUUUUGGAAAUAUUGUGAUGUAUUCUUGCCCUUUUUGUAAUUAUUCAAGUUACAAGCUAUUUAAUGUUAAACAACAUGUACGCAAGCAUACUGGAGAACGACCUUUUGUUUGUAGAUUUUGUCACAAAGGUUUCACUCAAAAUCAUAGCCUUAAGCUUCAUGAAGUUAAGCAUGAAUACAAAAUGAUAUGCAAUUGAUGUUUAUGAUAAAUGAUUCUAUGCAUUUGUUUAUCUUUUUUAUAAAAAUAAUAUUUGGGAAUCUAAUAAAAACAUAUAAUACCCAUUAUUUUUAAUUUUUAAAAAUAAUUCAACCAAUUAUUUAAGUUUUCUCAAGAAAAAAAAAUUCUAUUUUGGAUUAUUAAAUAAUAUUUUAUGCUUUUUAUAGUGGUUGUUUGCUUUUUUACACUUUUGUUAUUUUCUCAUAAAUUACUUAAUAUGAUUUUUGAAAUUUAAUUCAAGUAAUUUGCAUUAUUUUACCCUUCAGGAAAUAAUUAUUCUAUUACAUAUUAAUGGAAUUUUCCUGUAUUUUAUUGUAUGUGUUCGUAGUUUAAAACUUGUGUCAUUUCCUUGGAAAUUAUUUUAUAAGAUUAUGCCAUAGUAUUAUGCAUUUUCAAUUUUUAAAACUCAAUUUAAGGCAGUUGUAUAAUUUAAGUUUAUUAAAAGAAAAGCAUCCUGUUUAAAUAUUAAGAAGUGUUGCAUGUCUGGGUUCGAAUCUCUCCCAAGUCAUAGAUGUUCUUUCAUUCUCUGUUGUGGAAGCAACUUUAGCCCACCUAAUAUGGUGCCCUUGGAAAUCUGCCCUGUAAAUGCCUGAAUUGACGAAAUGUUAACACAGGUGGGCAUUAGAAAUAAAAUAAAAAACUGUUUUUUGUUUUGAUAUGAAGAAAUAUUUUCUAUGUUUUAUUGGGAUUAUUUGUAUUUUCACAUUUUUUGUUGUUUACCCCGGAAAAUUUAGCAUUAAAUUGAAUUGUUUUAGCAUAAUAAUAGAAUUUACAACUUUCUAGAAUGAAGUAAUAUUUCUGGUUAAUUAUUUUUUUUUGUUGGUAAUCCAUUAUUUUCAAACACUCCAUAUCAGUCUAACAUUUCGUUUUUGUUACAUUCUUUACAUCAGGUUUUGAAGUGUGUUUAAAAUGUUAAUGGGAGCAAAUGUAGUCAACAUUAUACUUGAAAUAGUUAUGGAUGUUGUACUUAGCAUUUGUAAUUCAAGUUCUUUUAAUUGAUAAGCGAUUUUGUCUUCGUUCAAUUCUAAAUAAUUUUAAACCUUUAUUAUGAUUCUGUGAAAUAAACUGCAGAUUUGUAAAAUAUUUAUUUGAAUAUAUCUUAUUGUGGCCUUAAAACCAAUGCCUUUUGUAAAACUGAUUGCUGAUUAUAUAUUGUGAAUGACAAAUAUGUCAUUGUUUCCUGUGCACUUCGUAAAUAGAAAAUAAAAAAUUCAUAAUUU